UACGGAGACUGCAAGCGUUACUCGGAUUCACUGGGCGUAAAGCGCACGUAGGCGGCCUGUCGUGUCGAGUGUGAAAGCCCUCGGCUCAACCGAGGAAGUGCAUUCGAGACUGGCAGGCUUGAGUUCGGUAGAGGAGAGUGGAAUUCCGGGUGUAGAGGUGAAAUUCGUAGAUAUCCGGAGGAACACCAGUGGCGAAAGCGACUCUCUGGGCCGACACUGACGCUGAGGUGCGAAAGCGUGGGGAGCAAACAGG
rnacentral:rRNA from 1 species